rnacentral:rRNA from 1 species
AACACAUUGAACAUCGAUMUCUUGAACGCAUAUGGCGGCCUCGGGUCCAUCCCGAAGCCACGCCCGUCUGAGGGUCGGCA